GAGUUUGAUCCUGGUUCAGGACGAACGCUGGCGGCGUGCUUAACACAUGCAAGUCGAACGGGCUUUCCUGCUGGUUUUUGCUGGUGGGUUGGUUAGUGGCGAACGGGUGAGUAACACGUGAGUAACCUGCCCUCUUCUCCUGGAUAACUGCUUGAAAGGGUGGCUAAUACGGGGUGGUCUGGCCUGCCUGCAUGGGUGGGUUGGUAUAGGUUCAGCUGUUUUGGUUGUUCCGGUGGGGGAUGGGCUCGCGGCUUAUCAGCUUGUUGGUGGGGUGAUGGCUUACCAAGGCUUUGACGGGUAGCCGGCCUGAGAGGGUGGACGGUCACACUGGGACUGAGAUACGGCCCAGACUCCUGCGGGAGGCAGCAGUGGGGAAUAUUGCACAAUGGGCGGAAGCCUGAUGCAGCGACGUCGCGUGAGGGAUGGAGGCCUUCGGGUUGUGAACCUCUUUUUCCGGUGGUGAAGGCCUGCUUCUUUGUGGGUGGGUUGACGGUAGCCGGGUUAGGAAGCGCCGGCUAACUACGUGCCA
rnacentral:rRNA from 1 species